CUUAAGCUCCACAAACUUCACUUACUGAAUGUGCAUAAUAACUUUAUACACUUCGCCAUUUGUAAGGAGAGGCUGAAACAGUCUACUUUAACGGUUUUAGUCAUAGAAUCCCAUGAUACGGAAAGACACUGAUCCAAACGAUGGACAGAAAAUGUGCAUUGCUCAUUUCCGUGUUUCAGACACUGAUCCAAAAAGUGGACAGAAGUAAUGACACAAUGAACAGGAGUAAUGGAAGAUUUUCGCCUGCUUCGUCUCCUGUCCCAACUUCUCUCAGCGAUGGCAGUGACCUGGAAGUGUGAGCCACAUUAACUCUUUCCCCCUAUAAGCUUCUUGUUGUCUGAGUGUGUUGUCGCAGCAGCGCAAAAGCAAAGUAAAACACCAUCCAGUGCAGAGUCCAAAAUAGGGCCAGCAGAUUUUUAGAAAUUACCAAAGGCCUCUGUUCAUGUUUCUGCUUGCCGAAUUCCACGCUGGCUUGUUCACUGCUGUAUGAGGCUUGGCUAUGCUUCUUACACAGCCCAGGACCACCUGCCCAGGAAAUGGUGCUGCCCACCAUAGAUUGGACCUUCCUACAGAAAGUAAUGCAAUCCUCCAUGAAAUAUCCAGUCAACGUGAUAAAAAACAAUUACUCGACUGAGAAAAAGGUGGUUCUAAGGACUGGAAAGAUGAUUUGGAGAUGAAGAUAUUUGCAUAUGUGGAUGAAGAGCGGGGGCUGCAGUCACCUGCGAUGAAGUGACAACCAGACCGUGGCUAAGACUGACUAAUGCAGGGACCUUGACUGUCAAUUGUGGUAGCGGGAACUUCGGUGUUUAACACCAUAUCCUCAUAGUUAUAACAGUAACGCCAUUCUUUGGGAUUUCAGUAAAAUGAAACACAAUUAACACAGAGCCGGCAUCAGAGAUUUAGAGAGUGAAGUUUAACCUAACGCUGCACGUGAGCUUAGUUGUGAAGAUUACCACAGUCUAUUUCUUCUGUAAUGAGGCUGUCCCCAAAGAAUCCCACAUAGAACGGCAAUCAGGGCGGAAAUGAGCACACGGCAGAGGCGGCCUGUGAGUGCAAAGCAUCUUAUGAACAGGAGAAGGUUACUGAAUAGUCAUUGUGAAUGACAAGUUUGGUUAUUCUUACAUAUUCAUAGUUCAUAAACUAGAAGAUGAUUAAACAGGUCAUGGAAACCUAGAAUUUUACUGUGUUACAUUUCACAACCAACAAUACAAGAACUAAUAAAUAAAGGCUGCCUUGUCUACUACAAAAGGUAAAUUAAAAUAUAUUGCUCUGAGAAUCACAAAGACACAAAAAAGCAUCAAUGUCACUCUUUCAUAUCAAUAUAUAUUUAACUAUAAUUGUCUAAAGUGCAUAAUAAACGUGAGGAAAUGG